UACCUGCAGCUCGAGUGGUGGCCGCUAUUAUUGGGCCUAAAACGUCCGUAGCCGGUUUAAUAAAUGCCUGGGUAAAUCGUGUAGCUUAACUAUACGAAUUCCGGGUAGACUGUUGGACUUGAGACCGGGAGAAGCUAGAGGUACUCCUGGGGUAGAGGUGAAAUUCUGUAAUCCUAGGGGGACCACCAGUGGCGAAGGCGUCUAGCUAGAACGGGUCUGACGGUGAGGGACGAAGCCCUGGGGCGCAAACCGGAUUAGAUACCCGGGUAGUCCAGGGUGUAAACGCUGCUUGCUUGAUGUUAGUUGGGCUCUGAGCCCAAUUAGUGUCGGAGAGAAGUUGUUAAGCAAGCUGCCUGGGAAGUACGGUCGCAAGACUGAAACUUAAGGAAUUGGGCGGGGAGCACAGCAACGGGUGGAGCGUGCGGUUU
rnacentral:rRNA from 1 species